rnacentral:rRNA from 1 species
CCUACGGGGGGCUGCAGUGAGGAAUAUUGGUCAAUGGGCGCGAGCCUGAACCAGCCAAGUCGCGUGAGGGAAGACGGUCCUAUGGAUUGUAAACCUCUUUUGUCGGGGAGCAAAAGACGCCACGCGUGGCGUUCCGAGAGUACCCGAACAAAAAGCAUCGGCAAACUCCGUGCCAGCAGCCGCGGUAAUACGGGGGAUGCGAGCGUUAUCCGGAUUUAUUGGGUUUAAGGGGUGCGCAGGCGGAAGAUCAAGUCAGCGGUAAAAUUGAGAGGCUCAACCUCUUCGAGCCGUUGAAACUGGUUUGCUUGAGUGAGCGAGAGGUAUGCGGAAUGCGAGGUGUAGCGGUGAAAUGCAUAGAUAUCACGCAGAACUCCGAUUGCGAAGGCAGCAUACCGGCGCUCAACUGACGCUCAUGCACGAAAGUGUGGGGAUCGAACAGGAUUAGAUACCCUAGUAGUC